rnacentral:snRNA from 1 species
GUGCUUGCUUCGGCAGCACAUAUACUAAAAAUUGGAACGAUACAGAGAUUAGCAUGGCCCUUGCGCAAGGAUGACACGCAAAUUCGUGAAGCGGUCCAGAUUUUU